GACGUUUACUACUGUCAUCUUAUAUUGCAAUUCAACUCUGCUUAAAAUAGUAUUCUUUUUUCUUGCCUAGAUCGGCUUAUCUUUUUUCUGUAUUUUUUUUCGUCAGGUUGAAAUUAAAUUUAAUGGUGACAAAGUCAUGGUGACUUUGAUCAGUUCUUAAUUGGGGUUAUUCAAAGUUACUCCCAUCUAUAUUACAAGAAAAAUGGUAACUUGCCUUACCUCUAAAUUCUACUGAACCCCUAUAGAAACGGUUACGUAUAGCUCAAACUAUGAAGACCCUACCGUUCUACUUCACCCCCAAAGAAAUCUUGAACGAAAACCGAACCUCUCAAGAAAACAUUGACAUUAUUAAGGAUUGGCUGUUAACUCUGGAGGAGUCAGUAGUACCAGAAAUCCAAGAUGAACUAAUCAUAUUAUUCCUUUUAUCUUGCGACAAUGACAUUCCAUUGACCAAAAACACCAUCGUGAUGUAUUACAAAUGUAAAGCGGAAAGUCCGGAGAUCUUUGACGAUAGGGAAAUGGAUAGGGCGGAUAUCCAAAAAGCCAUGAACACCAUACAAAUGUGUACUUUACCAGUGAGAACCGAAGAAAAUUAUGCCAUACAUUACUUCAGAUUGAACGAUACCACUUAUUCAAAUUUCGACUUGGUUCCCACAAUGAAACUGUCUUAUAUGCUACUGGAUAUCACCCAGGAGAGAAAAUUGCCCCAUGGGUUAGUCGUUAUCAUUGAUUUAAAAGGAAUCGGUUUAAUGCACCUCUCUAGACUUAAACUGAACGCUCUGAAGAAGUAUUUUCAGUUUCUGCAGGAAGGAUUUCCCUUGCAGCUAAAGGUCAUACACAUCAUAAAUGCGGUUUAUUUCUUUGAUAAAAUUAUGAAUAUUAUCAGGGUGUUUAUGAAGAGCGAGUUAGUCAAUUUGGUAACAUAUCAGAAUAUCGUUGCAAAGAAAAAGUAUCAUCCUCCAGGUAAUCUUUAAUAUCAUUUAUGAUAUGUUGACGCGAUUUGAAAGUUAUAGCCUUUGUCAAAGAAGAUAUGCAUGAACCUGAAUUGAAAGUUCAUCCACCAUAUUCAAACCAAGAGAGACUAUACGACUUGGUCCCAAAGUACUGUUGGCCCAAGGACUAUGGCGGAGAUCUCCCAGAAGUCUCGGUUCUUCACGAGAAAACCAAAGAACAAUUUGAAGCCAAACAAGAAUAUUGGAGAAUCGAGCAAGAAAUUCGACAAAAAUCUAAUUGAUUAAUUAUUAAAUUAAGCGUUAUAUAAUAAAAAAAAUUAUUACGCA